rnacentral:rRNA from 1 species
GACGAACGCUGGCGGCGUGCCUAAUACAUGCAAGUAGAACGCUGAAGGAGGAGCUUGCUUCUCUGGAUGAGUUGCGAACGGGUGAGUAACGCGUAGGUAACCUGCCUGGUAGCGGGGGAUAACUAUUGGAAACGAUAGCUAAUACCGCAUAAUAGUAGAUGUUGCAUGACAUUUGCUUAAAAGGUGCAAUUGCAUCACUACCAGAUGGACCUGCGUUGUAUUAGCUAGUUGGUGAGGUAACGGCUCACCAAGGCAACGAUACAUAGCCGACCUGAGAGGGUGAUCGGCCCCACUGGGACUGAGACACGGCCCAGGCUCCUACGGGAGGCAGCAGUAGGGAAUCUUCGGCAAUGGACGGAUGUCUGACCGAGCAACGCCGCGGGAGUGAAGAAGGGUUUCGGAUCGUAAAGCUCUGUUGUAAGAGAAGAACGAGUGUGAGAGUGGAAAGUUCACACUGUGACGGUAUCUUACCAGAAAGGGACGGCUAACUACGUG